CCUGAUCUCUCCUGGUGCAUAGA
rnacentral:miRNA from 1 species